UACGUAGGGUGCAAGCGUUGUCCGGAAUUAUUGGGCGUAAAGGGUGCGUAGGCGGUUUGACAAGUCUGAUGUGAAAUCUAUGGGCUCAACCCAUAGUCUGCAUUAGAAACUGUCGGGCUUGAGUAUGGGAGAGGUGAGUGGAAUUUCCGGUGUAGCGGUGAAAUGCGUAGAUAUCGGAAGGAACACCUGUGGCGAAAGCGGCUCACUGGACCAUUACUGACGCUGAUGCACGAAAGCUAGGGGAGCAAACAGG
rnacentral:rRNA from 1 species